AUUGAACGCUGGCGGCAGGCCUAACACAUGCAAGUCGAACGAGUGGCGGACGGGUGAGUAAUGUCUGGGAAACUGCCCGAUGGAGGGGGAUAACUACUGGAAACGGUAGCUAAUACCGCAUACCAUCGGAUGUGCCCAGAUGGGAUUAGCUAGUAGGUGGGGUAAUGGCUCACCUAGGCGACGAUCCCUAGCUGGUCUGCGAGGAUGACCAGUCACACUGGAACUUAUCCACGGUCCAGCCUCCGACGGGAGUCAGCAGUGGGGAAUUUUGGACAAUGGGGUAAACCCUGAUCCAGCCAUCCCGCGUGUGCGAUGAAGGCCUUCGGGUUGUAAGGCACUUUUGGCAGGAAAGCGGUACCUGCAGAAUAAGCACCGGCUAACUACGUGCCAGCCGCCGCGGUAAUUC
rnacentral:rRNA from 1 species